ACCCGGUUGGCGCAAUUGGUUAGCGCUUUAGGCUUUUAACCUAAAGGUUACGAGUUCGAAUCUCGUACCGGGUU
rnacentral:tRNA from 1 species